UACGGGGGGAGCAAGCGUUGUUCGGAUUUACUGGGCGUAAAGGGCGCGUAGGCGGUCAGCACAAGUCAGUUGUGAAAUCUCCGGGCUUAACUCAGAAAGGUCAACUGAUACUGUGCGACUAGAGUGCAGAAGGGGCAACUGGAAUUCUCGGUGUAGCGGUGAAAUGCGUAGAUAUCGAGAGGAACACCUGCGGCGAAGGCGGGUUGCUGGGCUGACACUGACGCUGAGGCGCGAAAGCCAGGGGAGCGAACGGG
rnacentral:rRNA from 1 species